GAGUUUUUUUGGAGUGGUUUUUACUAGAAACACCUAAGUUGAAUUAUUCUUUCUUUCUCCCUAGUAAAAAACUCAAAAGAACAUGAAAAAGUCUUCUUGUGAUCAUCAAAAUCAUCAGCAGGGAGUUGUAGCUGAUCAUGUGCUGAAUCUGGAGCCUGAGACACUUAGAAACGACACUGAUUCUUUCAAGAAAUGCCCGAACUCAUCAAAAGUUGCCAGGGUUGGUGCAGUAACAGAAAAAUAAAUUCAAUUUGCAGACUCCUGUCAUCCUCCGGAUCUUUGGAUCAGUCUCUCGGCCUCAUUCAUCGCUUCUGAGGAUGAACUUCUCAACACCUGCUGUGGUCGAAACUGUUCUUACAUCAUCUCCUGAACACAGUGACUUCAAUCACGUGAAACCAUGAGGUUAAUGCCACAGUCGAGACUUCAAAGCUGUUUCUGCAGACCUGAGCUGAUUUUUUUUUGAAAAUGCUACAGUAGCUGCUAGUUCUUAACCAGCAGAAGAAUUACCAGAGCUGGCAGUGUUCUGCUUAUCAUGCAAUACAAGAAGAUGGGAAAAUUUUCUAGCAGAACUGCAAUCUGGGUGAGGGUGGCAGUACUGUAGGCUGAGUUCUCCACUUAAUGUCAGAUUAGUUUUGAUUUUUGUCUUUUUGUAUAAAAUGGAGAUGAAUAUCCUUGUUCUGUAUUACCUACUUGAACCAGAUGACCUUUAAAAGGCCCCUUCCAACUCAAACUAUUCUAUGAUUCUAUGAAAUUGUUAGUUGUGCUAGAAAAGGGAUUCUCACAAGAAAAAAGGUGAUUACAGGGCUUACUAAUGAGGGUGAGAGAUCAGGCUACAGGGGGAACCUUCUUUAGAGAGACACUUUGAACAAUCUUUCAGAAGGGGGGAGAUUCUGAUACAUGUCUAAAUGAGUCUGGGUUAUGUGCAAUAGCAGAAAACUUUCCUCUGACCAGAAAGUUCCCUCUGGUUCUGUGUUUCUGAGUUGUAGGACAAUGAAAUUCUUAAAUGUUAAUUAUGCAAGUAGCAACAGUGAUUAUCUAUUGAUCAAUAAUAUUAAUUAUGGACCUAAUUGAAUGGAUGUUGCUUGUGACUGAAUAAAACCAGAAGAACAGACA
rnacentral:lncRNA from 1 species